rnacentral:rRNA from 1 species
CUGUAGAACUUGAGUGCAGAAGAGGAGAGUGGACUUCCAUGUGUAGCGGUGAAAUGCGCAGAGAUAUGGAGGAACACCCAGUGGCGAAGGCGGCUCUCUGGUCUGUAACUGACGCUGAUGUGCGAAAGCGUGGGGAUCAAACAGGAUUAGAUACCCUGGUAGUCCACGCCGUAAACGAUGGAGUGCUAAGUGUUAGGGGGUUUCCGCCCCUUAGUGCUGCAGCAAACGCAUUAAGCACUCCGCCUGGG